rnacentral:rRNA from 1 species
CGCGUAGGCGGUUUUUUAAGUCAGAUGUGUAAUCCCCGAGCUUAACUUGGGAACUGCAUCUGAGACUGGAAGGCUAGAGUACUGGAGAGGGUGGUGGAAUUCCUCGUGUAGCGGUGAAAUGCGUAGAGAUGAGGAGGAACACCAGUGGCGAAGGCGGCCACCUGGACAGUAACUGACGCUGAGGCGCGAAAGUGUGGGUAGCAAACAGGAUUAGAUACCCUGGUAGUCCACGCUAUAAACGAUGAACACUUGGUGUGGAGGGAGUUGACCCCUUCCGUGCCGGAGCUAACGCGUUAAGUGUUCCGCCUGGGGAGUACGGUCGCAAGGCUGAA